AGCGAACGCUGGCGGCAGGCCUAACACAUGCAAGUCGAACGAAGUCUUCGGACUUAGUGGCGGACGGGUGAGUAACACGUGGGAACGUGCCUUUAGGUUCGGAAUAACUCAGGGAAACUUGUGCUAAUACCGAAUGUGCCAUUCGGGGGACAGAUUAGUCGGCUUUAGAGCGGCCCGCGUCUGAUUAGCUAGUUGGUGAGGUAAAGGCUCACCAAGGCGACGAUCAGUAGCUGGUCUGAGAGGAUGAUCAGCCACAUUGGGACUGAGACACGGCCCAAACUCCUACGGGAGGCAGCAGUGGGGAAUCUUGCGCAAUGGGCGAAAGCCUGACGCAGCCAUGCCGCGUGAAUGAUGAAGGUCUUAGGAUUGUAAAAUUCUUUCACCGGGGACGAUAAUGACGGUACCCGGAGAAGAAGCCCCGGCUAACUUCGUGCCAGCAGCCGCCGUAAUAC
rnacentral:rRNA from 1 species